UUGGAGUCUGUUCACAUUUGACAUGUCUGAACAAAUCAUUUAAAUUCUGUAUAAAAGCUGAAAGUGUUCAGAAAAAGAUCUGAAAUUAUUGAUGUAUUUUUUAAUGAUUAGAUUGAAGUAUGUGGUGAUAAAUAUAUAAUAUUCUUCAUAUCUUGUAAUCAUCAACAUGACAGUUGUCAUUCUGACAGAGAAAAACGUUUCUUCAUUCUAUCAAACCAAAUUUCAUCAAUAUAUUAUAUUGUUUUAUAUUCUAAUAUAUUAUCAGUAAUAAUAAUUAAUGUGAAAUUAUUCUGCUCUUAUUUUGAAAUGUAGAAUUUGCAGAUACGUCAUUGUGUGUGUUCCUCAUAGAACCUCUGAUGACAUGAGCUGAUCCUUGUGUUUGAUAUGAAGGUGAACACAGUACAUGUGGUGAACUUUGUGCUGUAUUGAUGAGCAGUUUAGUGAUCAGAGUCCAUGUAGUUUCCAGGAUCAGACUGAAUGCAGUGCAGUGCUGGAAGCUGCUGUUGACUGUGUGAAUGUGUGUCUGUGGCGCUCGUGGCUGCCGUCAAACUCCAGAUGAGCCGGUAGCGAAGCCCGUGGCGAGCGUGUACCCGGCGGCGCCCGGAGCCCGCCUGGAGGGCCGGAGCGCCCUGCUGUGUCUGGCCUCGGCCAUGUUUCCCCCUGUGGUCCGGUUCUCCUGGAAAAGACGAAAGGAGAACGGUCCUCUGGAGGAGCCGCCCCCCGCUGAGACAGAGCAGCUGGAGCUCAGAGAGUCGGGACGCGCCGCCGCCAUCUUGCUGAUCCAUCAGCCACAGAGGAGCUCAUAUAAUUACAUCUGCUACGUCCAGCACGAGGGGGGCAAAGUGGAGGCCCCACCAGUACCAGUGUCAGUGUCAGUGUCAGUGUCCUUCCAGUCUCAGUGCAGGGUGAAGCUGCUCUUGCUGCUGUACUCAGUGCUGAUAGUGAAGAGUCUGGUGUACUGCUGUGGACUCUCUCUGCUGAUGAUCCUCAGAAACAAGGGACCGUCCACCAACUGCACACAUGCUGACUGACUGUUUCCUGCUCGCCUUUCCUCGCCAUCAGAUCUCAUCCCUUCAUCUCAUGCUUCGUCCUAAACGUACAAAUACAUAUACACACAUAUAUAUAUCUGCAGUUACUGAGUGUAUAUUCUGUGGUAAAGUGUUAUUUUGAUCCUCUAGUUUAUUUCUGCUUUGAAUUGUGACUUUUAUAAUAAUAGAAAAUGAAGCUGAAUCAUUGGCUGCCUGCUACAUAUUUUAUUGUUUGUGCUAUUUUUCUGUUCUUGUCUUUCUUUUUAAUACAUGAUGCAGAGUGUGGCAGGUUUGUCAAAUUCUUUCACUCAAACAUUCUCAAUAAAGAGAAAAAUCACA